AAAAAUGCGCCCGACUCCAACAUCAAUGAGUAAUAUAUGCUGUGCACCCGCCGCGGCCGCAAGUAGGCUGUGGAUCGCACCUAUAAAAUGUCUCUCGGUCGACAUGGAGUGCAUCAUUCGGAAGUGACAGUAUUCAUAGUGGUGAUAGCAAAGCUACGCAGAGCAGUUGAUUAGCCGAUAUAGAAAUAUUCGUGUUUGAUAAGAUUAGUUGUUUGAGAGUGUCGUUAGAGCAACAACCAGAAUGUCGUGUAAAUGCUGCGGUAAUGCUAAUUGUCGAUGCACUACUUGCUGUGGAGUGGACACACCAUGCGAGUCAGGAUGUACAUGUAAAUGUAAUUGCAAGACCGGAAAGACUUGCACUAAACCUGGUUGCUGUUAGACGCAAUAAUUGUACUGUCAGAAUCGUGGAAGUUGUUUUUGAACAAAUAAAAUGUGGUUCUGAACUGUA